rnacentral:rRNA from 1 species
UAGGGAAUCUUGGACAAUGGGCGAAAGCCUGAUCCAGCCAUGCCGCGUGAGUGAUGAAGGCCUUAGGGUUGUAAAGCUCUUUCGCCAGGGAAGAUAAUGACGGUACCUGGAUAAGAAGCCCCGGCUAACUUCGUGCCAGCAGCCGCGGUAAUACGAAGGGGGCUAGCGUUGUUCGGAAUUACUGGGCGUAAAGCGCACGUAGGCGGCAUUCCAAGUUGGAGGUGAAAUCCCCGGGCUUAACCUGGGAACUGCCUCCAAAACUGGGAAGCUCGAGUCCGAGAGAGGUGAGUGGAAUUUCCAGUGUAGAGGUGAAAUUCGUAGAUAUUGGAAAGAACACCAGUGGCGAAGGCGGCUCACUGGCUCGGUACUGACGCUGAGGUGCGACAGCGUGGGGAGCAAACAGGAUUAGAUACCCCCGUAGUCC